rnacentral:rRNA from 1 species
UACGUAGGGUGCGAGCGUUAAUCGGAAUUACUGGGCGUAAAGGGUGCGCAGGUGGCCGCGCAAGUCGAGUGUGAAAUCCCCGGGCUUAACUUGGGAAUUGCGCUCGAAACUACGUGGCUCGAGUGUGGCAGAGGAAGGUGGAAUUCCACGUGUAGCGGUGAAAUGCGUAGAGAUGUGGAGGAACACCGAUGGCGAAGGCAGCCUUCUGGGCCAACACUGACGCUCAUGCACGAAAGCGUGGGGAGCAAACAGG